rnacentral:piRNA from 1 species
AGGACUGUAGUGGAUAAGCUGUA